rnacentral:rRNA from 1 species
CAGUCGCCGCGGUAACACGUAGGGUGCGAGCGUUAAUCGGAAUUACUGGGCGUAAAGCGUGCGCAGGCGGUUGAGUAAGACAGGUGUGAAAUCCCCGGGCUUAACCUGGGAACUGCGCUUGUGACUGCACAGCUAGAGUAUGGCAGAGGGGGGUGGAAUUCCACGUGUAGCAGUGGAAUGCGUAGAGAUGUGGAGGAACACCGAUGGCGAAGGCAGCCCCCUGGGCCAAUACUGACGCUCAUGCACGAAAGCGUGGGGAGCAAACAGGAUUAGAUACCCGGGUAGUCCCUGUCUCUUAUAC